rnacentral:rRNA from 1 species
UACGUAGGGUGCGAGCGUUGUCCGGAAUUACUGGGCGUAAAGAGCUCGUAGGUGGUUUGUCGCGUUGUUCGUGAAAUCUCACGGCUUAACUGUGAGCGUGCGGGCGAUACGGGCAGACUAGAGUACUGCAGGGGAGACUGGAAUUCCUGGUGUAGCGGUGGAAUGCGCAGAUAUCAGGAGGAACACCGAUGGCGAAGGCAGGUCUCUGGGCUGAUACUGACGCUCAUGCACGAAAGCGUGGGGGAGCAAACAGGG